GGUUAAGCGACUAAGCGUACACGGUGGAUGCCCUGGCAGUCAGAGGCGAUGAAGGACGUGCUAAUCUGCGAUAAGCGUCGGUAAGGUGAUAUGAACCGUUAUAACCGGCGAUUUCCGAAUGGGGAAACCCAGUGUGUUUCGACACACUAUCAUUAACUGAAUCCAUAGGUUAAUGAGGCGAACCGGGGGAACUGAAACAUCUAAGUACCCCGAGGAAAAGAAAUCAACCGAGAUUCCCCCAGUAGCGGCGAGCGAACGGGGAGCAGCCCAGAGCCUGAAUCAGUGUGUGUGUUAGUGGAAGCGUCUGGAAAGGCGCGCGAUACAGGGUGACAGCCCCGUACACAAAAAUGCACAUGCUGUGAGCUCGAUGAGUAGGGCGGGACACGUGGUAUCCUGUCUGAAUAUGGGGGGACCAUCCUCCAAGGCUAAAUACUCCUGACUGACCGAUAGUGAACCAGUACCGUGAGGGAAAGGCGAAAAGAACCCCGGCGAGGGGAGUGAAAAAGAACCUGAAACCGUGUACGUACAAGCAGUGGGAGCACGCUUAGGCGUGUGACUGCGUACCUUUUGUAUAAUGGGUCAGCGACUUAUAUUCUGUAGCAAGGUUAACCGAAUAGGGGAGCCGAAGGGAAACCGAGUCUUAACUGGGCGUUAAGUUGCAGGGUAUAGACCCGAAACCCGGUGAUCUAGCCAUGGGCAGGUUGAAGGUUGGGUAACACUAACUGGAGGACCGAACCGACUAAUGUUGAAAAAUUAGCGGAUGACUUGUGGCUGGGGGUGAAAGGCCAAUCAAACCGGGAGAUAGCUGGUUCUCCCCGAAAGCUAUUUAGGUAGCGCCUCGUGAAUUCAUCUCCGGGGGUAGAGCACUGUUUCGGCAAGGGGGUCAUCCCGACUUACCAACCCGAUGCAAACUGCGAAUACCGGAGAAUGUUAUCACGGGAGACACACGGCGGGUGCUAACGUCCGUCGUGAAGAGGGAAACAACCCAGACCGCCAGCUAAGGUCCCAAAGUCAUGGUUAAGUGGGAAACGAUGUGGGAAGGCCCAGACAGCCAGGAUGUUGGCUUAGAAGCAGCCAUCAUUUAAAGAAAGCGUAAUAGCUCACUGGUCGAGUCGGCCUGCGCGGAAGAUGUAACGGGGCUAAACCAUGCACCGAAGCUGCGGCAGCGACGCUGAUGCGUUGUUGGGUAGGGGAGCGUUCUGUAAGCCUGUGAAGGUGUGCUGUGAGGCAUGCUGGAGGUAUCAGAAGUGCGAAUGCUGACAUAAGUAACGAUAAAGCGGGUGAAAAGCCCGCUCGCCGGAAGACCAAGGGUUCCUGUCCAACGUUAAUCGGGGCAGGGUGAGUCGACCCCUAAGGCGAGGCCGAAAGGCGUAGUCGAUGGGAAACAGGUUAAUAUUCCUGUACUUGGUGUUACUGCGAAGGGGGGACGGAGAAGGCUAUGUUGGCCGGGCGACGGUUGUCCCGGUUUAAGCGUGUAGGCUGGUUUUCCAGGCAAAUCCGGAAAAUCAAGGCUGAGGCGUGAUGACGAGGCACUACGGUGCUGAAGCAACAAAUGCCCUGCUUCCAGGAAAAGCCUCUAAGCAUCAGGUAACAUCAAAUCGUACCCCAAACCGACACAGGUGGUCAGGUAGAGAAUACCAAGGCGCUUGAGAGAACUCGGGUGAAGGAACUAGGCAAAAUGGUGCCGUAACUUCGGGAGAAGGCACGCUGAUAUGUAGGUGAAGUCCCUCGCGGAUGGAGCUGAAAUCAGUCGAAGAUACCAGCUGGCUGCAACUGUUUAUUAAAAACACAGCACUGUGCAAACACGAAAGUGGACGUAUACGGUGUGACGCCUGCCCGGUGCCGGAAGGUUAAUUGAUGGGGUUAGCGCAAGCGAAGCUCUUGAUCGAAGCCCCGGUAAACGGCGGCCGUAACUAUAACGGUCCUAAGGUAGCGAAAUUCCUUGUCGGGUAAGUUCCGACCUGCACGAAUGGCGUAAUGAUGGCCAGGCUGUCUCCACCCGAGACUCAGUGAAAUUGAACUCGCUGUGAAGAUGCAGUGUACCCGCGGCAAGACGGAAAGACCCCGUGAACCUUUACUAUAGCUUGACACUGAACAUUGAGCCUUGAUGUGUAGGAUAGGUGGGAGGCUUUGAAGUGUGGACGCCAGUCUGCAUGGAGCCGACCUUGAAAUACCACCCUUUAAUGUUUGAUGUUCUAACGUUGACCCGUGAUCCGGGUUGCGGACAGUGUCUGGUGGGUAGUUUGACUGGGGCGGUCUCCUCCUAAAGAGUAACGGAGGAGCACGAAGGUUGGCUAAUCCUGGUCGGACAUCAGGAGGUUAGUGCAAUGGCAUAAGCCAGCUUGACUGCGAGCGUGACGGCGCGAGCAGGUGCGAAAGCAGGUCAUAGUGAUCCGGUGGUUCUGAAUGGAAGGGCCAUCGCUCAACGGAUAAAAGGUACUCCGGGGAUAACAGGCUGAUACCGCCCAAGAGUUCAUAUCGACGGCGGUGUUUGGCACCUCGAUGUCGGCUCAUCACAUCCUGGGGCUGAAGUAGGUCCCAAGGGUAUGGCUGUUCGCCAUUUAAAGUGGUACGCGAGCUGGGUUUAGAACGUCGUGAGACAGUUCGGUCCCUAUCUGCCGUGGGCGCUGGAGAACUGAGGGGGGCUGCUCCUAGUACGAGAGGACCGGAGUGGACGCAUCACUGGUGUUCGGGUUGUCAUGCCAAUGGCACUGCCCGGUAGCUAAAUGCGGAAGAGAUAAGUGCUGAAAGCAUCUAAGCACGAAACUUGCCCCGAGAUGAGUUCUCCCUGACUCCUUGAGAGUCCUGAAGGAACGUUGAAGACGACGACGUUGAUAGGCCGGGUGUGUAAGCGCAGCGAUGCGUUGAGCUAACCGGUACUAAUGAACCGUGAGGCUUAACCUU
rnacentral:rRNA from 1 species